rnacentral:rRNA from 1 species
UACGUAGGGGGCAAGCGUUGUCCGGAUUUAUUGGGCGUAAAGAGCGUGUAGGCGGUCUGGUAGGUCCGUUGUGAAAACUCGAGGCUCAACCUCGAGACGCCGAUGGAAACCAUCAGACUAGAGUCCGGAAGAGGAGAGUGGAAUUCCUGGUGUAGCGGUGAAAUGCGCAGAUAUCGGGAAGAACACCCGUGGCGAAGGCGGCUCUCUGGGACGGUACUGACGCUGAGACGCGAAAGCGUGGGGAGCGAACAGG